GGUGGACGCUGGCGGUAGGCCUAACACAUGCAAGUCGAACGGCAGCACAGUAAGAGCUUGCUCUUACGGGUGGCGAGUGGCGGACGGGUGAGGAAUACAUCGGAAUCUACUUUUUCGUGGGGGAUAACGUAGGGAAACUUACGCUAAUACCGCAUACGACCUACGGGUGAAAGCAGGGGAUCUUCGGACCUUGCGCGAUUGAAUGAGCCGAUGUCGGAUUAGCUAGUUGGCGGGGUAAAGGCCCACCAAGGCGACGAUCCGUAGCUGGUCUGAGAGGAUGAUCAGCCACACUGGAACUGAGACACGGUCCAGACUCCUACGGGAGGCAGCAGUGGGGAAUAUUGGACAAUGGGCGCAAGCCUGAUCCAGCCAUACCGCGUGGGUGAAGAAGGCCUUCGGGUUGUAAAGCCCUUUUGUUGGGAAAGAAAAGCAGCAGGUUAAUACCCCGCUGUUCUGACGGUACCCAAAGAAUAAGCACCGGCUAACUUCGUG
rnacentral:rRNA from 1 species